rnacentral:rRNA from 1 species
GAUGAACGCUGGCGGCGUGCCUAAUACAUGCGAGUCGAGCGAACGGACGAGAAGCUUGCUUCUCUGAUGUUAGCGGCGGACGGGUGAGUAACACGUGGAUAACCUACCUAUAAGACUGGGAUAACUUCGGGAAACCGUAGCUAAUACCGGAUAAUAUUUUGCACCGCAUGGUUCAAAAGUGAAAGACGGUCUUGCUGUAACUUCUAGAUGGAUCCGCGCUGCAUUAGCUAGUUGGUAAGGUAACGGCUUACCAAGGCAACGAUGCAUAGCCGACCUGAGAGGGUGAUCGGCCACACUGGAACUGAGACACGGUCCAGACGCCUACGGGAGGCAGCAGAAGGGAAUCUGCCGCAAUGGGCGAAAGCCUGACGGAGCAACGCCGCGUGAGUGAUGAAGGUCUUCGGAUCGUAAAACUCUGUUAUGAGGGAAGAACAGAUGUGUAAGUAACUGUGCACAUCUUGACGGUACCUAAUCAGAAAGCAACGGCUAACUACGUG